CCUACGGGUGGCAGCAGUGGGGGAUAUUGCACAAUGGGGGGAACCCUGAUGCAGCGACGCCGCGUGGGUGAAGAAGCGCCUCGGCGCGUAAAGCCCUGUCAGCAGGGAAGAAAAUGACGGUACCUGAAGAAGAAGCCCCGGCUAACUACGUGCCAGCAGCCGCGGUAAUACGUCGGGGGCAAGCGUGAGCCGGAUUUACGGGGUGUAAAGGGGGCGCAGACGGCGAGGCAAGGCAGGAGUGCAAGCCCGGGGCCCAACCCCGGGACUGCUCUUGGAACUGCGUGGCUGGAGUGCAGGAGGGCCCGGCGGAAUUCCUGGUGUAGCGGUGAAAUGCGUCGAUAUCAGGAGGAACACCUGUGGCGCCGGCGGCCUGCUGGACUGCAACUGACGUUGAGGCCCGCAAGCGUGGGGAGCAAACAGGAUUAGAUACCCUAGUAGUC
rnacentral:rRNA from 1 species